CCAGCGCUACGCUUAGAAAUCGGUGCCUGUGUUAGGCAUGGCUGUGGGAACAAAAAUGAAGACUGAAGACCCCCAAAGAAAGCAGUACCUGUUGUCUUUGCCAUUCUGCAGAAGAGAGUGCCUGUCGGCGCCGGAGCGAUCCGUGCACACAUGUGCCACGUCCUGUCUGUUUGGGCAAGUACCGAGUGGAUAAUAAACUCUUCACUACCAUGGACAAGCUUGAAGACAAUAGACUACAAGACCAUCAGCAAGAAGCUUGAUGUGCCACGUCCUGUCUGUUUCGGCAAGUACCGAGUGGAUAAUAAAACUCUUCACUACCAUGAGCGGGGACAAGCUUGAAGACCAUGGACUACAAGACCAUCUGCAAGAAGCUUGGAUGGAGAGGAGCAAUAUGGCUACGCUUGUCAAGCUAGAGGGGGAACACUGUGAUCCUACUGCGUUGUUUGAGCGUGAUCUCAAGUGCACCGGACGGAGCUGUAAAGCGGAUCGAGGUCUUGUGUUUCGUGUACUUUUCUUGUGUCUUUUCCUGGGCCGGUGCUCGGAAAACCAGUUGGUGACAGCCAUGGCGAGGCGCAUGAAUCCGAUGCUAAUGCAGUGCACCUCUGAGCGUGGACACGUGUUUCUGCCUGUUGGGAGGAAAGACAUGACUGUGAAUUUGGACGUCUGGCUCGGUUGGGUGUUGGGAUGGCAACGACUUUGAAUCACAGCCAGGACAGCAACCUCCAUCUGGAUGGAGGGCGUGUCUUCAAGGAGAAUGAUGUCAGCCAUGUGGCAGAUGAGACCGUCCAACCAGGAUGCGCUUGAUUCCUGAAACAGCAUAAAGCUGUUAACAUGUCCAGUUCAAGUUGAAGACCCACCUGACCAGCGUAGAGCACGUCCAGGCUGUCAUCGAUCCACUUCUCCACAUCAAGCCGCCUCUGCAGCUCCUUCCGGUUGUAUUUCACCGUGACCCGGGCAUGUCUCUUGGGAAUAUGGCUGCUGUGUUCCUGAAAUGAACUUUCAUCCGAUGCAUCAACGGCAACACUUUCCCCGAGUGUCGUCCCUGUCCUGUGUGCUGCCAUGCCUGAUCUGGACUGGUCCGACUGGUUUCUCCUCUUUUUUUUUUUUUUUACAAGCACAAGUGGAGACGGCUGGGAGGCGACAGGCACAGAGAGGACGAGGCUGGAGGUCUUUCCAUCUCAUAAUGUGUUUAUGGUAUAUAAGUCCUCUUAUGUAUAUAUAUAUAUAUAUGCAUACUAUAUCCAUCAUUAUCCUGGCAUGUCUUUGUUAACAUUAACCAGCUUAGGUAAACUAAAGCUCAUUUGUGUCUUUGUGCAUUGCAGGACAGGAGUGUCUAAUACGGGGUGGUUCGAUACAAAUAUCCAUAAGUAUCGAUACCAUCGGCAGUAUCCGAUCGCUAACAUAAACUUGGAAAAAGGAACGUGAUACCGGGGUACAAGAAAACAUAACGAUGAUACAACAAAAUGCAUCCAACACACAGGCAUCAGUAUCGUUCCGUAGUUACCUGGUUUCCCAUAAAUACCAAAACUGCAGUAUCACUCACGUCCAGUAUCAAAGUGCGGCUACAUGAAAAUCACAUCAGUUUAUACUAUACAUUUAGGCAAUUUUGCUUUAAAAUAAUAUUAAUAUUUUGAAAAUAUUGAGGCUGCACUUCUUUAUCUGUCAAGAAAAUAAACAGUGACAUAUUGCUGUCGAGCUUUGUAGGAAUUCAGGAGGUUUUCUACCAGCUGCUUAUAAUUAUUUGCCAGUAGUUUCCAAAAAAAACUGUGAUGCAAAAGUCAAUUUCUGGUAAUGUUCAUGAAAUCAGCAAAUAAACAGUGACAUAUUGUAGUCAAGCUUUGUAGG